rnacentral:lncRNA from 1 species
GUCACAUGCGCCGAAUACAACAGUGAAAUGCUUACUUACAAGCCCUUAACCAACAAUGCAGUUUUAAGAAAAUACCUAAAAAAGGAGAUAAAAGUAACAAGUAAUUAAAUAGCAGCAGUAAAAUAACAAUAGUGAGGUUUUAUACAGGGGUACCUGUACAGAGUCAAUGUGGAGGCUAUAUACAGGGGGUACCAGUACAGAGUCAAUGUGGAGGCUAUAUACAGGAGGUACCAGUACAGAGUCAAUGUGGAGGCUAUAUACAGGGGUACCGGUACAGAGUCAAUGUGGAGGCUAUAUACAGGUGGUACCGGUACAGAGUCAAUGUGGAGGCUAUAUACAGGGGUACUGGUACAGAGUCAAUGUACAGAGUCAAUGUGGAGGCUAUAUACAGGGGUACCGGUACAGAGUGAAUGUGGAGGCUAUAUACAGGUGGUACCGGUACAGAGUCAAUGUGGAGGCUAUAUACAGGGGUACUGGUACAGAGUCAAUGUGGAGGCUAUAUACAGGGGGUACCGGUACAGAGUCAAUGUACAGAGUCAAUGUGGAGGCUAUAUAAGUAAUAUGUACAUGUAGGUGGAGUUGUUAAAGUGACUAUGCAUAGAUAAUAACAGAGUAGCAGCAGCAUAGAAGAGGGGGGAGAGACAAUGCAAAUAGUCUGUAAAGCCAUUUGAUACAAUUUUCAGGAGUCUUAUGUCUUGGGGGUAGAAGCUGUUUAGAAGCCUCUUGAACCUAGACUUGGGGCACCGGUACCACUUGCCGUGCGGUAGCAGGGAGAACAGUCUGACUAGGGUGGCUGGAGUCACUGACAAUUUUUAGGGCCCUCUUCUGACACCGCCUGGAAUCAGAAGUCCUGGAUGGCAGGAAGCUUGGCACCAGUGAUGUACUGGGCCGUAGGCACUACCCUCUGUCGUGCCUUGUGGUUAGAGGCCAAGCAGUUGCCAUACCAGGGAGUGUUGCAACCCGUCAGGAUGCUCUCGAUGGUGCAGCUGUAGAACCUUUUGAGGAUCUGAGUACCCAUACCAAAUCUUAGAAAUACAGCUAAACCUAGGGUAUGGCUAAAUGGGGUGUGUAGAAAUACAGCUAAACCUAGGGUAUGGCUAAAUGGGGUGUGUAGAAAUACAUGUGGGGGUCAGGGAGAGAGUAGAGUUAUGUACUAGACUGGUGGGGGUCAGGUAGAGAGUUGAGUUAUAUACUAGACUGGUGGGGGUCAGGGAGAGAGUUGAGUUAUGUACUAGACUGGUGGGGGUCAGGGAGAGAGUUGAGUUAUAUACUAGACUGGUGGGGGUCAGAGAGAGAGUUGAGUUAUGUACUAGACUGGUGGGGGUCAGGGAGAGAGGACUGAACAGUGGAACAUACUGCUAGGCUUUAUGACUUUUAUCUCAUUUGUUCCUUACGUCAAUGAUGUGAGAUAAACUUCUUAGCAACUUAUCUUUGAUCAGUG